GGCAUCAUGGUGUAGUGGAAUCACGUCUGUCUCCACAUAUCGGAGGUCCCCCAGAUCGAAACUGGGGGAUGUCA
rnacentral:tRNA from 1 species